rnacentral:rRNA from 1 species
AGCGAACGCUGGCGGCAGGCCUAACACAUGCAAGUCGAACGAAAUCUCCGGAGUUAGUGGCGGACGGGUGAGUCACACGUGGGAACGUGCCUUUUGGCUCGGAAUAACACAGGGAAACUUGUGCUAAUACAGAAUGUGUCCUUCGGGGACAAGAUUUAUCGCCAUUGGUGCGGCCCGGGUCCGAUUAGCUUGUUGGGGAGGUAACGGCCGACCAAGGCGACGAUCAGUAGCUGGUCUGAGAGGAUGACCAGCCACACUGGGACUGAGACACGGCCCAGACUCCUACAGGAGGCAGCAGUGGGGAAUCUUGCGCAAUGGGCGAAAGCCUGACGCAGCCAUGCCGCGUGAAUGAUGAAGGUCUUAGGAUUGUAAAAUUCUUUCACCGGGGACGAUAAUGACGGUACCCGGAGAAGAAGCCCCGGCUAACUUCGUG